GGCCUUGGUGGUUGCAAUUAUGGUGAGCUGGUUUUUGGAUCUAGGUGGAUUUAAAACAAAGGGGAAAACAAAAGCGAACAAAUAAUCCCUAUUUGUGUUAGGGAAACAAAGAAUGAUCUGAAUGCGUGGCAGAUGCCUGGGGACAGUGAUUGUGGACUAGUUUUCACUUCACGUUUUGCAUAAGUCCAGGUCUUCUGAGGGUUUGAGAUCCAUUCUUCUUGCAUAGUCGGGAUUUCUUUCUUCUUUCUUGUAGUGGUUGUGUCUACGUUGUUAAGUUGUAAUUGUUUGAGCAAUUUUUGCCCUUCAUCUGUAUUGUGGAUGAUGUGGGUUGUUCCUUCUUUUUGUACGAUUAACUUAGUAGGAAAUCCCCAUCUGUAGGGUAUCUUAUUUUCUCUCAGGCAUGAGUUUAUUGGAUGGAAUUUUUUCCUUUCCAGUAUAGUUGCUUGUGAAAGGUCUGUGAAAAGAAUAACGUGCCUGUAUGGAUCGGGUAGAGAUUGGAGUUUUUUGCCGCAGACAUGAAUUCUUCUUUGACAUGGUAGAAGUGAAUACGGGCAAGGACGUCUCUCGACUUGUUUUCUUGGAUGUUUUGGGUUUUGGAAGUCUGUGUGCUCUAUCAACAGUAAGGUGAGGCUUCUGGUAGCAGGGCCUGCAUAAGUUUUUGUAGAUAUUUAGAAAAUUCUCCUGGGGACACUGUCUCAGGGAUCCCCCUAAAUUUGACAGUGUUUCGCUUAGAGCAGUCUUCUAGGUCUGCUAAUUUCGCUUUAAUGGCUGUGAUGUCGUCUUGUUGGGAGUUAUGUGCAUCUACUAGGGUAUUGUGUGCAUUUGCGUAUUCCGCCAUUUUGUUUUCAAUGGGAUUUACUCUCUCUCCGAACUCAUCUAGGUUUGUGGAAAUAGCGUUGCACAUUUGUGCUAUGUCAGCUUUGAUGGAGCACUUUAAAGCCAUCAGCAUUUCUUUCAUCAAAUCUACUGUGAUGACGUCAUUAGAAGUGGGUAUAUGGGCAAAUACUCCCAUGGUGUGGGGUGAUAGAGAAGUGGACGCACCUACCUCAUGUGAAGGGGAUUGAUUGUUGUCCAUCCCUGGUUUUUGCUUGGCUGGACUUCUAUUUUUUUUUUAGGUAUCUGAGAAAGCUGCAUCUUUUUCUUCUUGCAGUAUCUCCUGCUGAGUUAUAUUGAAGCUUUUUGCUCUCUGUAUCGAUCUUGCAGGUUUGGUGUUUUUAAAACCAGUUGUGGUUGUGUCUCUGCCUGGAGUCUUUUCAGCUUUUGAUAAAUGUUUUGUACUCCUCCUAUCGUCUCUCUCCUCUAUAGAUGCCGAGGGGGAGCUGCUGCAGCUGGAGGAGCGUGAGGUUUGAUGCAUGUGCUUCUCCGCUGGGAGGAAGACGUCGGCGAGGUGCUUCGGGGGCUCCCUUCUUCUACUACUCUUCACCAUGAUGCCGAGGUGGAGCUGCUGCAGCUGGAGGAGCGUGAGGUUUGACGCGUGUGCUUCUCCGCUGCGAGGAAGACGUCGGCGAGGUGCUUCGGGGGCUCCCUUCUUCUACUACUCUUCACCAUGGAAGAGCUGACAAGCAUUUGCUAAACUGAAGGCAAUGACGGAGAGGUUCUCCACAGGUGUGUGUUUGGCAAUGGGAAUGGCAAUUAAUCAUGCUGAAUCAACCUCCAGGAAUUUCUACACCCAAACCUCCAAAUUUUCUGAGAUCUGGUUCCCUCAAGGCCUCUAAGAAUAUGUUCUCUGAGUACAAACUCAUGCCUUAUAUAAUACAGAUGUAUCCUCUAGUUUGUUCAUA